rnacentral:lncRNA from 1 species
AAACCAAUAAUGAAAUGGACAUCUGUUUAUAAUUAUAUAAAAAUAGUUACACAGAACACAGAAGGAAGAUAACAUUUUAUAAAAUAAUAUUUUUGUAAUAGGCAUAUGGGGAAUUAUAAAAUGUUAAGCUUCAUUUCUGUUGUUAACUUACACAAAUGUAAAAUAAAUGUGAGAAAGAAUAUGGUCUUGAAAUACUACUUAUUCCUUUUUUUUGGGUACCAGGGAUCAAACUCAGGUCCUUGCGCUUGCAAGGCAGGCGACAGAACCACUGAGCUAAAUCCCUGGCCCAAUACUACUUAUUCUUUAAAACAUAUUAUGUAUAAAGUCAAAAUGACACACUAAAUCAAUGACAUCAUUUCACAUUCCCAAUUAUAAACUUCGUUGUACUUAUGUCUAUAGUAUUUUCACUGAGCAAGUAUAAAACAGAGUUCAGUUGUAAGCUUUCCUUCUCCUCCACUUUUCUUUUGAAAUCAUUUCAUUCUUCCCCUAUUAUAUUUCUCUUUCCAAUGGAAAUCAUAGAAAAAUGCCCCCCUCCCCUGCCCAGAAACUAAAUUUCAUCCUAGAAUCAGGACAGAAAUACACAGAUUCAAAGAACAAGUACAUGUCUGUAAUAUUAGCACUUGAGGCAGAAGGAUUGCAAGUUAGAGUUUCAUCUGGGCAACUUAGAAAGAUCCUGGAAAAAAAGACUUGAGGAUGUAGCUCAGUGGUAGAGCACCAUUGGAUUCAAUCUUCAGUAACACAGAAAAAAGAAAAGAAAAAGAAAAACAACUUUAAAAGAUGACCUUUAGAUAUAUCAGAAGUUAAUCCAAAUGUGAAAUUCUGUAACUUUAUGAGAUUGUUUAGUUUGGUUUCUUAGAUUGAUUUAUUUUCAUUUUGACUUUCCAUUUUAGUGUCUGGUCUUCCAAACCAUAGACUACCAAUUAGCUGAAGGAAUCAUCAACUAUUACCUUAUAUUGAUUGCUACACAGUAUAUAGAUAAGAUCAGAUGAAACGUACAAUCUUCAUUAAAAAUUUUCUGCAACUUUUAAAAUGGUCUGCAUAGAAUGUUUAGAAAUUAUUUCAACCAUAUUUGAAAACACUUGGUUCAUGAUUAUACUGGCCAACUAAAUAACAUUCUUUAAAAAUAAAAUGUGUUAUUUGGCAGGCAGCUGGUACGUGGCCAUUUAUGAAUUUUUAUUUAAAGAAGAGAUGCAAGACAUUUUCUACAGUGGCCUCCUCUGCACUCCCAACUUUUACUAUUUGAAAAUGCAUGAGUACUUUCCUUUGGAAAUUAUGUAGCCUACACAUAUUUUAUAAAAAUCACAGAAUGUGGGAGCAUGGACAGUUCUAUAUCUAAGAACAUCAGUAACCAUGAUGUUUGAUGUCAUAUGAUCUAAAAUAGCCUGUGACAUAAGGCUUCUCCCAGAUGUCUGCAGAUUGUUCAACUGUUUCAUUGUGUUUGUUAUCUUC